rnacentral:rRNA from 1 species
AGAGUUUGAUCAUGGCUCAGAACGAACGCUGGCGGCAGGCUUAACACAUGCAAGUCGAGCGCCCCGCAAGGGGAGCGGCAGACGGGUGAGUAACGCGUGGGAACGUACCUUUUGCUACGGAAUAACUCAGGGAAACUUGUGCUAAUACCGUAUGUGCCCUUCGGGGGAAAGAUUUAUCGGCAAAGGAUCGGCCCGCGUUGGAUUAGCUAGUUGGUGAGGUAAAGGCUCACCAAGGCGACGAUCCAUAGCUGGUCUGAGAGGAUGAUCAGCCACACUGGGACUGAGACACGGCCCAGACUCCUACGGGAGGCAGCAGUGGGGAAUAUUGGACAAUGGGCGCAAGCCUGAUCCAGCCAUGGCCGCGUGAGUGAUGAAGGCCCUAGGGUUGUAAAGCUCUUUCACCGGUGAAGAUAAUGACGGUAACCGGAGAAGAAGCCCCGGCUAACUUCGUGCCAGCAGCCGCGGUAAUACGAAGGGGGCUAGCGUUGUUCGGAUUUACUGGGCGUAAAGCGCACGUAGGCGGACUUUUAAGUCAGGGGUGAAAUCCCGGGGCUCAACCCCGGAACUGCCUUUGAUACUGGAAGUCUUGAGUAUGGUAGAGGUGAGUGGAAUUCCGAGUGUAGAGGUGAAAUUCGUAGAUAUUCGGAGGAACACCAGUGGCGAAGGCGGCUCACUGGACCAUUACUGACGC